AUUGAACGCUGGCGGCAGGCUUAACACAUGCAAGUCGAACGAUGAUUUCCCAGCUUGCUGGGAAUGAUUAGUGGCGGACGGGUGAGUAACAUUUAGGAAUCUGCCUAGUAGUGGGGGAUAGCUCGGGGAAACUCGAAUUAAUACCGCAUACGACCUACGGGUGAAAGGGGGCGCAAGCUCUUGCUAUUAGAUGAGCCUAAAUCAGAUUAGCUAGUUGGUGGGGUAAAGGCCCACCAAGGCGACGAUCUGUAACUGGUCUGAGAGGAUGAUCAGUCACACCGGAACUGAGACACGGUCCGGACUCCUACGGGAGGCAGCAGUGGGGAAUAUUGGACAAUGGGGGCAACCCUGAUCCAGCCAUGCCGCGUGUGUGAAGAAGGCCUUUUGGUUGUAAAGCACUUUAAGCAGGGAGGAGAGGCUAAUGGUUAAUACCCAUUAGAUUAGACGUUACCUGCAGAAUAAGCACCGGCUAACUCUGUGCCAGCAGCCGCGGUAAUACAGAGGGUGCGAGCGUUAAUCGGAAUUACUGGGCGUAAAGCGAGUGUAGGUGGCUCAUUAAGUCACAUGUGAAAUCCCCGGGCUUAACCUGGGAACUGCAUGUGAUACUGGUGGUGCUAGAAUAUGUGAGAGGGAAGUAGAAUUCCAGGUGUAGCGGUGAAAUGCGUAGAGAUCUGGAGGAAUACCGAUGGCGAAGGCAGCUUCCUGGCAUAAUAUUGACACUGAGAUUCGAAAGCGUGGGUAGCAAACAGGAUUAGAUACCCUAGUAGUCCACGCCGUAAACGAUGUCUACUAGCCGUUGGGGUCCUCGAGACUUUAGUGGCGCAGUUAACGCGAUAAGUAGACCGCCUGGGGAGUACGGCCGCAAGGUUAAAACUCAAAUGAAUUGACGGGGGCCCGCACAAGCGGUGGAGCAUGUGGUUUAAUUCGAUGCAACGCGAAGAACCUUACCUGGUCUUGACAUAGUGAGAAUCCUGCAGAGAUGCGGGAGUGCCUUCGGGAAUUCACAUACAGGUGCUGCAUGGCUGUCGUCAGCUCGUGUCGUGAGAUGUUGGGUUAAGUCCCGCAACGAGCGCAACCCUUUUCCUUAUUUGCCAGCGGGUUAAGCCGGGAACUUUAAGGAUACUGCCAGUGACAAACUGGAGGAAGGCGGGGACGACGUCAAGUCAUCAUGGCCCUUACGACCAGGGCUACACACGUGCUACAAUGGUAGGUACAGAGGGUUGCUACACAGCGAUGUGAUGCUAAUCUCAAAAAGCCUAUCGUAGUCCGGAUUGGAGUCUGCAACUCGACUCCAUGAAGUCGGAAUCGCUAGUAAUCGCAGAUCAGAAUGCUGCGGUGAAUACGUUCCCGGGCCU
rnacentral:rRNA from 1 species